AUUCCUACGGGAGGCAGCAGUGGGGAAUAUUGCACAAUGGGGGAAACCCUGAUGCAGCCAUGCCGCGUGUGUGAAGAAGGCCUUCGGGUUGUAAAGCACUUUCAGCGAGGAGGAAAGGUCCGUAGCUAAUAUCUGCUGGCUGUGACGUUACUCGCAGAAGAAGCACCGGCUAACUCCGUGCCAGCAGCCGCGGUAAUAAU
rnacentral:rRNA from 1 species